rnacentral:rRNA from 1 species
UACGUAGGGAGCAAGCGUUAUCCGGAAUUAUUGGGUGUAAAGGGUGCGUAGACGGGAUAACAAGUUGGUUGUGAAACCCCUCGGCUCAACUGAGGAACUGCAACCAAAACUAUUAUUCUUGAGUGCAGGAGAGGAAAGUGGAAUUCCUAGUGUAGCGGUGAAAUGCGUAGAGAUUAGGAAGAACACCAGUGGCGAAGGCGACUUACUGGACUGUAACUGACGCUGAGGCAUGAGAGCAUGGGGAGCAAACAGG